rnacentral:rRNA from 1 species
GUCUACAGCUAUGCCACCCUGAACAAGCCCAAUCCCGUCUGAUCUCAGAAGCUAAGCAGGGGCCAGCCUGGUUAGUACUUAGAUGGGAGACCACCUAGAAAGACCAGGUGCUGUAGGUG